UUUAUGGAGAGUUUGAUCCUGGCUCAGGACGAACGCUGGCGGCGUGCCUAAUACAUGCAAGUCGAGCGGACAAUUGAGAGCUUGCUCUCAAUUGUUAGCGGCGGACGGGUGAGUAACACGUGGGCAACCUGCCCUGUAGACUGGGAUAACUUCGGGAAACCGAAGCUAAUACCGGAUAAUCUUUUGCGUCUCAUGGCGCGAAAGUAAAAGUUGGGUUUUACCUAACACUACAGGAUGGGCCCGCGGCGCAUUAGCUAGUUGGUAAGGUAACGGCUUACCAAGGCGACGAUGCGUAGCCGACCUGAGAGGGUGAUCGGCCACACUGGGACUGAGACACGGCCCAGACUCCUACGGGAGGCAGCAGUAGGGAAUCUUCCGCAAUGGACGAAAGUCUGACGGAGCAACGCCGCGUGAACGAUGAAGGCCUUCGGGUC
rnacentral:ncRNA from 1 species